AUUUGCACGUUGCUGGGGAACGUGCUGCUUCCACGUUUCCAGCAAUAACAAGGCACAUUUGCUGCUGCAGGUUCAUUAACGAGGCCUGCGGGAAUGAGGAUUGGCUUGUCCACCGUGUUCACUGGACGGUAGGAAAAAAGAAAAGUCAGAAAAGGGAGAGCGAUGUUCAAGUUCAUGCUCAACUGUGGCUACUUCUCUGAACCCAAGAGGCCACCAGCCCCUAGCUGCCUUGGCCAUUGCUGGGGUGGGCAUUAACUGGGAUCUUGAGCCCCCGUUUCUGCUGAUGGUCGACAACUUAAACUUGCCAAGUCAAGGUACCAGGCACCCCUCCAGCUUCUAUAUAUAGCACUCUGUGGCGACAGCUGGCUAUCUGAUGACUCAUCAGUCACCGUGGGCGUCUCCGGAUGGAACCCUGAACAUUUAUUCAGAGGGUGCUUUUGCCAGUUUCUGAACGACUCCUAAUGGCAUUUGAGGGGGAGAGGAUAAGCCAAGGGAAGAGGAAAAUCAAAAUGCUUUCAGCAGCACGGCUUCCGCAUGCUGGAGAGGUGGUGUAUGGGGUUGCGGCUUGGCCUGUUUUCUGAAACCUGCAAGGUAGCACCCUGAAGGUAGCUUGUAACCCUCCACUCUCACACCAAGAGACGGGGAUCUUGCUAUGUUGCCCAGGAUGGUCUUGAACUCCUGGCCUCCAGACGAUCCUUCCACCUCAGCCUUCCAAGGUGCUGGGAUUAAAGGCAUGAGCCACCACGCCUGGCUGGGACUUUACAAUUUAGAGAAGACCUGAUCUCUACCUAAACGGAAGCGGCCACCUGUCUCCCAGCUGUCUGGGACUGUCUGCUGGAGCAAGUGACAUCACAGUGACCAGAAACCACCUCCCCUUUGUCUGGAGCAGUUAUGAUGUCAUUCCCUCUGGCAGCGAAGCAGGAUGUUGGCAGCUGGGAUUCCUCCGGGUCCUCCUGAAGUGAUAAUUGCCUUAGAUUUUGUUAUAAAGUGCAGCUGCUAAUUAUCUUGUUAAAUCACAGCCAUAUACUUUUUGGAUCUUUUUUUCCUUUGCAAUCCAUUUAAACAAUCUGGGAGAUUAAAUAAAACCACAUACCCCAAACAAAAACAAAAACACAACCCAGACACACACAUACACAUGCACACUCACACACAUAUUUUUUCUUCCUUAAAACACCAUAAGAACAAUUUUUUAAAAAUGAAAAGGGUACAGAUAUGGCAUAAUUAGAUUACUUCCAUUAAAAAGCCAUCAUUUCAACAUCCUCAUAUAAAUAUCUGCAUCCCGUUGCAUAUUUUAGGCAAUUGCAUAAUAAGCCCCCAAGUGAAAAACAGAGCAAAACUCAUUUCCUGACCACAAAAGGAAAAAGGAGUCACUAUGUGCUCUGAGUUCCAAGGAGAACUGGAUUACAUUCCUCCCACACAGACUGGAGGGAGAUGGAGUUCAUUGCUCCAGGGGAGAGAAUUAUGACAACACUUAACCGCUGUGACCCACGCUGCUCCAAGCUGCUCUGCGCCUCUCCACGUCGUUGGCCAUUAGAAGCAUGCAGCUCCCACUGAGGUCGGAGGAAGGAAGGAGAGGACCUAGCCACCUCCGUUUGGCUGGGAUGCUCCAGGCACGUGGAAAAACCUGUCCUGGGUUUCAGCAUCAACAGGUGAAUGAAUGUCAGGUGUGACUCGAGCCUCCUUACCAUUACUUGUGAUUGGCCAUUUUCAGACUUCUGAUUUUUGUGGUCCUGCUGGAAGUUUGCCCAGCAGCAGCAGGGGGAAAGGAGGGAGGUGAGCAUGGGCACGGCCUGCCAGCCCCUGCACACAGGGAGGCUGAAUGGUACAGCCCAGACCUGGGUCUGCAUCCUUGCUGAGUCACUCCCAGCUCAGGCUCAGUUUCCUCGUCUGUAAAGGCGGAAUCAUACUAUUUCCUGCUUCAUAGUAUGGUUGUGAGGGUUAGGUGGGAUCAUAUUGGAAAAGCACCUAUGCAAGGAUGGCACUUAACCAGCAGCAGAGCUAAACCACUGCUGUGGAUAUGUUGCAAUGGGGCCCCCAAAUUAUGAAGGCCACGCUUUGGUUCUUUCUUUUUCAGGACAGGGAUAGAGGAUGGAGGUGGCUUGCCUCAGGAUGGGGACUUGCUUGCCAGAGAGGCCAAAGUUCAGGCUCUCUUGGGCCCCAACCAAGGUGGUGCUCAAGCCCAGCCCUUUACAGCUGCCCUGGGCUGUGACCACCUUUGGCAAGGUCAUCUCCCUUCCCCUCUUCAGCACUGGCUCCUCCAACCAGAGCUGUAUUCUGCUCAGCCAAUCCUUCUUGCUCGGGGAGAGUAGAGUGACCACCUCCUUAGGGGUGUCCAGACCUGCACUUAGUCUUCUAGCCUGGCCUGAAAAUAGGUGUCAGGUCUGAGGCAGGCCAUGAUCCCCGUGUGUG
rnacentral:lncRNA from 10 species